GCCCGUAUGGCGCAGUGGUUAAGUGCGCCUGGCAGUGCUCUCGUUGUUGCGGUGGGCGACGAGAGCAAGUGGGUUCGAAUCCCGCUACGGUCC